ACUUUUUUUUUUUUUAAUUCAUUUAUUGACCUUGUGCUGAGCACAUUUGUCACGAAAAACCUCUAUAUAUAAUUUUUAAUUACUUAAACUAAAUCGGACAUAACAAACGACCAUGCCAAGUCUGGGACUCGAACCCAGGGCCACACGACUGCUAGGCAGGUAUAUACCCACCGCGCUGCCGGGGCCGGCAGAACUAACUUGAAAUUAAAUGCAGUACAAACUUUAUUCCUUGGAGAUAAUAAAUUUAUUUCUUGCUAUAAAAUAUAGGGGUAAUUUUUGAUAUCGAUUCCAGGGACAACUUCAAGCAAAGACUUUCCUAAGGCUGUUUUGGAAGAUGAGCAUGCCAGAAAGGUUAGCAGUAAAGACAGUGACAGCUAUAAAGCCACACCGAAAGCCACAGUUCUUGCGUGAUACUCUUCAUGUUCCAGGAACCUCUGAAAUGGUAUCACCUAAACUUGCUGCUCAAGAUCAAGGACGACAGCCAAUCUACCGAACAUGAAAACAAUUUAAACGACCAUUCUUUAUCCGACACAGCACUACGUCCUCCAUCGGCCACCCCAUCCACAUCAACAUCAAAUUCCAGAAUUAGUGUCAAAAGAAAACUUCAAAAGAAUUUGAAUCGCAGCGAUGAAGUUUUAAAUAUUGUAGCAAGAAACUCCAAAAUCAAGGAAAAUAUGCAGCUUUCGGCCAACAUGUAGGCCAAGAGCUUCAAGAACUGCCUUCUGAGAUGCGGCCAUAUAUUGCAAAAAGGUGAUUAAUGAAGCAAUCUUCCAUGCACAAAUGGGAAAAUUAAACCAGAUAUCAAAAAUCGUAACCCAGAUCGAAACAGAUAGAUCAGCAGCAACUCCUGAUAUAAACACUUUUCAGUAUAAUCAGGUUAGUCGGCCAAGUAACACUGAAUUUUUAAGAUUGACACCAGAAGGACCCGUGAGAUCCUUA